rnacentral:rRNA from 1 species
GACGAACGCUGGCGGCGUGCUUAACGCAUGCAAGUCGAGCGGUAAGGCCCUUUCGGGGGUACGACGAGCGGCGAACGGGUGAGUAACACGUGGGUGACCUGCCCUCAGCUCUGGGAUAAGCCUGGGAAACCGGGUCUAAUACCGGAUAUGACUCCAUGACGCAUGUUGUGGGGUGGAAAGCCUUGUGCGGCUGAGGAUGGGCCCGCGGCCUAUCAGCUUGUUGGUGGGGUGAGGCCUACCAAGGCGACGAUCGGUAGCUGGUCUGAGAGGACGACCAGCCACACUGGGACUGAGACACGGCCCAGACUCCUACGGGAGGCAGCAGUGGGGAAUAUUGGACAAUGGGCGAAAGCCUGAUCCAGCGAUGCCGCGUGUGUAGAAGAAGG